rnacentral:rRNA from 1 species
GAUGAACGCUGGCGGCGUGCCUAAUACAUGCAAGUCGAGCGAACGGACGAGAAGCUUGCUUCUCUGAUGUUAGCGGCGGACGGGUGAGUAACACGUGGAUAACCUACCUAUAAGACUGGGAUAACUUCGGGAAACCGGAGCUAAUACCGGAUAAUAUUUUGAACCGCAUGGUUCAAAAGUGAAAGACGGUCUUGCUGCCACUUAUAGAUGGAUCCGCGCUGCAUUAGCUAGUUGGUAAGGUAACGGCUUACCAAGGCAACGAUGCAUAGCCGACCUGAGAGGGUGAUCGGCCACACUGGAACUGAGACACGGUCCAGACUCCUACGGGAGGCAGCAGUAGGGAAUCUUCCGCAAUGGGCGAAAGCCUGACGGAGCAACGCCGCGUGAGUGAUGAAGGUCUUCGGAUCGUAAAACUCUGUUAUUAGGGAAGAACACAUGUGUAAGUAACUGUGCACAUCUUGACGGUACCUAAUCAGAAAGCCACGGCUAACUACGUGCCAGCAGCCGCGGUAAUACGUAGGUGGCAAGCGUUAUCCGGAAUUAUUGGGCGUAAAGCGCGCGUAGGCGGUUUUUUAAGUCUGAUGUGAAAGCCCACGGCUCAACCGUGGAGGGUCAUUAGAAACUGGAAAACUUGAGUGCAGAAGAGGAAAGUGGAAUUCCAUGUGUAGCGGUGAAAUGCGCAGAGAUAUGGAGGAACACCAGUGGCGAAGGCGACUUUCUGGUCUGUAACUGACGCUGAUGUGCGAAAGCGUGGGGAUCAAACAGGAUUAGAUACCCUGGUAGUUCACGCCGUAAACGAUGAGUGCUAAGUGUUAGGGGGUUUCCGCCCCUUAGUGCUGCAGCUAACGCAUUAAGCACUCCGCCUGGGGAGUACGACCGCAAGGUUGAAACUCAAAGGAAUUGACGGGGACCCGCACAAGCGGUGGAGCAUGUGGUUUAAUUCGAAGCAACGCGAAGAACCUUACCAAAUCUUGACAUCCUUUGACAACUCUAGAGAUAGAGCUUUCCCCUUCGGGGGACAAAGUGACAGGUGGUGCAUGGUUGUCGUCAGCUCGUGUCGUGAGAUGUUGGGUUAAGUCCCGCAACGAGCGCAACCCUUAAGCUUAGUUGCCAUCAUUAAGUUGGGCACUCUAAGUUGACUGCCGGUGACAAACCGGAGGAAGGUGGGGAUGACGUCAAAUCAUCAUGCCCCUUAUGAUUUGGGCUACACACGUGCUACAAUGGACAAUACAAAGGGCAGCGAAACCGCGAGGUCAAGCAAAUCCCAUAAAGUUGUUCUCAGUUCGGAUUGUAGUCUGCAACUCGACUACAUGAAGCUGGAAUCGCUAGUAAUCGUAGAUCAGCAUGCUACGGUGAAUACGUUCCCGGGUCU